rnacentral:lncRNA from 1 species
AUGCAAGAUAUUACCCAUGGAAGGAACAUGGAGCCUCCAGGUUCCGCGGGAAGGGUCGGUAUUAGAGGAUUCCUUGGAGCGGUCAGCACUGGUCCGGGCCAGGGUGUCUCUGAUGACAAAACUCCGGAGAGCUUUGUCUCACCAGGGAUCAGAUGGUCCCUGGUUUGGAAGGCGAGGGGAGGGUGCCAACGCCCUUCUCACCUCAGUGUGACCCGGGGGCGCGGGCCCAGACGUCUCUCGGAGCCCCAGCCGCUGGAGUGGCGUUCCCCGAGGGCGGGGCGUGGGCGGGUCCCCCGGGAGCAGCAGGAGCCUCGCGGGGCGGGCGCCCCCAGCGCCGAGGUUGAGGGAGGCCGGGCUCGGUGCGGGGCUGGGAGGGGGGCGCGGAAUCAGGGCUUUUUAGGACCCAGCGCGGCGCCUUCCUCCGGGGGCGAGUGCGGCUGCGCGCGCCGUGUGCCCGUGUCCGGAGAGCGGCGGGCUGGACGCGGACCGCGCGAGCGAGCAGGCGACGGGCGAGCAGCUAGCGGAGCAGCAGCCCCGGCGGCAGCAGCGUCGCGGCGGCGGCGGCGGCCGCUCCGCGCCUCGCCUUACCGGCCUCGCCGGCCUCACCUCGCCGCGCCCGGACCCGCCACCCCCGCCUCCCCGCCCGACCUCCGCAGCCCCCCGUCUCGGCCGGCAGCGCCCACCGCCUGCCCGAAGCGAGCAGCGGAGUGCGGGGCGCAGAGGCACCGGAGCCAGUGCCCGCCGGCCCCGCAAACCAAACCUAGCCGGGAGAACCCCCGCCUGGCCCCGCGCAGCUCCGCGACCGCCGGGAGCUGUCCCUUCAGCACCGCCGCGGGAGCCCGAGUCCCAGCGCAGCCCAGCGGAGCCCCAGCUGGAGCCCGGGCGCACCGAGAGCAGCGCUCGGCGUUAGCCGCACGAGAAACACCCCGGGUGCCCCUGCCCAGGGGGCCCGCCAUCUCCAGGAGGCGGGGAGAAAGAACGAGGAGGGCGGGCGGGCAGGCGGGCCCGCCGCCGGGGGGAGCAGGCAGCCAAGCAAGGAGAGAGGGAGGGGGCCGGAGCCCGCCCUGCGUCCCGAGCUGCAGCCCGGCCACGCAGGGAGGAAGGCAGGUGGCAUCCAUCUACCCCGCGCCGAGAGCGCGCCGCGGCGACCACCGCACAGAGGAGCGCGAAUUUCCCGGCCCGGUCUCCUCCCCUCCCCCUCCCGGGGGCUGGCCUCUAGUCCGGCCCUGGGAGCGGCUGACCUUCCCCCCAAAAGCUUUGUGCCCAUUUCUCCAUUUUCCCGCGGAGAUGGGAACGGGAGACCGGCCCCCCAACCCUCUUUCCCCUCCUCCGGGGGCUCACCGCUGA